UACGGAGGGGGCAAGCGUUGUUCGGAUUUACUGGGCGUAAAGGGUGUGUAGGCGGCUGGAUAAGUCUGGCGUGAAAUCUUCACCGCUUAACGGGAAGGGGUCGCUGGAAACUGUUCAGCUUGAGUAUGGUAGAGGCAAGCGGAAUUCCUGUGUAGCGGUGGAAUGUGUAGAUAUCAGGAAGAACACCGGUGGCGAAGGCGGCGCACUGGACCACAACUGACGCUGAGGCGCGAAAGCUAGGGGAGCAAACAGG
rnacentral:rRNA from 1 species